UUGCUUAUUUUGCAUGCUGUGACAUAUAUUUUUCUUCGAUUCGGCAUACAAUGUUCUCCCUUUCUUUAUCCUUCAUCCAACAUUAUUCGGCUUUAGUCUGGCCUGUAUCCUCUUCUAUCCAUCUCACUAAACGUGCUCGACGUCAUCACUCAUCUGACGUCAUGUCCAUCUACCGCAACUCUUCGGCUAACAUCUGAUGACAUCAUCUGCUGUCAUCAACGUCACGUCAUCCGUCAUUGACGUCACACGUCACAUCUCGUCUGAUGUCAUAAUCGUGUCUACUCUGACGUCCUGCUUCAACUCAUCUGACGUCAUACUCCAACCCAUCUGACGUCACACAUCACCUCUCAUCCGACAUCACUCGCCUGCUCUACCCUUGGCGCGGUGCUCUCGUCAGUUCUCUGCCUGGUUCAGCCGCCUCACCAGUCCGUCUGCCUCCAAUACGUGUGACGGGGACGUCAGAACACAGGCCGUCAUCGAGUCCGUCCGUUAGACCGGAUGUCAGUGCAGCGUCGGUCGUCGCGACGAGGCGGAGGGAAUCGCUGAAGCACUGGGGGAGCCAGGGUGACCUGGACACAGCCUCCAUGAGCCGACGGUCAUCCCUCCUGUUAGACCUUCGUGAACAUGACCGACGCAACAGACGCAAACAGUCUCGAGUGCAGACCGAUGAUGAGUUCGACCCCAGCCAUCUACCGACAGUCAGCAAAACGAAAACCAGGUCGACGCGGAGAAGGACGUCGCUCUCGACACGAGAGAACAGCGUCAAAACAUUACCAUCUGUGAAGAACAGCCGCCUCUCUCGACGCCAGAGUACACAGCAGCGACGCUCAAAGUCGGAGGACCGCCAGAGAAAACAGUCCAUCGUCAGCUUCACACUCGGGCGCUAGGGACUGAGGGUCGUACGCCGUCAAUAAGAUGGUUCUUUCUUCUAUCCAGGGCUGACUUUACUUGGA